CCACUUUCCCAGGGCUUUGUGAGUCAACUAAAAGACAGCAAAGCAGACAGCAGCUGCCCCCGGGCAAACCUGGCAGGAUCCAGUAGCAAAGACGUCUUGUCUUGGAAGUUGGAGGAAGAAGAUCAACUGCCAUUUCCUUCUCAGAGAGAAAAGGAAAAUCCCCAGAAUUAAAAAAAAAGGAAUUGGAAAAAUUAAACAAAUGGCUAACCCUCUCAUCCAUAUUCAUCAACAAAGAGAAUCAUAAAAUCAACCCUAACCCAAGAGAACAUAACUGCCAACAAUGAGAAGUUGACCUACAAACCUGUGUGUCUCCUUUGGUGUCUUUUGAGCUGGUCUGAACGAGAAAACCUUCGCUCACAGUCCUUGAAGUCACACUGAACAUCUGUAAAAAGAAAGAGCUGGGCCAACUGUACCUUCUUCGAUAGACUGGGAAAUUCUGAGAAGCCUUUUCUUCACUUUGUAUUUAUAUCCAGCCCAGCAACUUACACUUCACCUCUACAAUCUGGAGAUGACAACAUGCCCUAUUCAGUCUUGAUUUCUUUUCUCUGCCUUUUGCGCUGCUGCCAAUCCUUUACUUCUUCUGUCUGAAUUUACCAACCCUUCAAUGGUUUAACACAACCCCUUCCUUCUCAAAUGACCCUAGCUCAAACUGAUGGUUUCUGAACUCUCUUCUCAGCUCCUCUAGCCUCUAAUCCAGUACAUUAUAUGCUCUUAGUUCCUCUUCAUUUAUGUAAACCAUCACUCCAAACCAGACCAUAAAGUCUUUGAGAACAAGGAUUGUGACUUAAGAAUUAAAAGGCAUGAGUCUGAGUCCUGAUUCCAUAACAUCCAACCCAUCUGAUAAUUAUUUUGUGUGUGAGAAUUAAAUGAAAAAAAUACAAGUAGAAUACGUGGCACACAGAAAGUACUUAAUAUGAAAGUGUUUCAUGUAAUAGUUUGUACUGUUGUUAUAAAUAAAUAAGAAAAAAUUGUACUCUUUUAAGAACGGGGCUGUAGGAUUGUCCAAUACCUGCCUGUUUGUCCUUCUUGUAUUCUGUAAGGGAAAGUUUCUUAAAGCCUCCAGAGCACCUGAAGGUUCUGCCUGCUUUGUCCACUUUCUGCCCUUAAAACAGAACUCUAACCAUCACUGUUUUCUAAGUGAAUCUUUCCCAUUAAAAGUUGC